rnacentral:rRNA from 1 species
AGAAUGAACGUUGGCGGCGUGGAUUAGGCAUGCAAGUCGAACGGGCCGCAAGGCCAGUGGCGCAAGGGUGAGUAAGGCGACGGUAACCAACCCCGCGGGUGGGCAUAGCCGAGGGAAACUUCGGGUAAUUCCCAGCGAUGCAAGAGGCCGGCAUCGGCUUCUUGCCAAAGAUUUAUCGCCGUGGGACGGGCCGUUGUGGUAUUAGCUUGUUGGCGGGGUGACGGCCCACCAAGGCUUCGAUGCCUACCGGGCGUGCGAGCGUGGCCCGGCACACUGGGACUGAGACACUGCCCAGACUCCUACGGGAGGCUGCAGUCGAGAAUCUUCGGCAAUGGGCGCAAGCCUGACCGAGCGACGCCGCGUGGAGGAUGAAGGCCUUCGGGUUGUAAACUCCUGUCGAGGGGGAGGAAGCCGCAAGGUUGACCGAUCCCUGGAGGAAGCACGGGCUAAGUUCGUGCCAGCAGCCGC